GCAUUUGGUAGAUGCCUUGGCACUAGAAGGCGAUGAAGGACGUAAUACGCUGCGAUAAGCUUCGGGGAGUUGCGAAUAAAUUUUGAUCCGAAGAUUUCCGAAUGGGGAAACCCACCUAAUUUAUUAGGUAUUGUAUAGUGAAUACAUAGCUAUAUGAGGCAAACCCAGCGAACUGAAAUAUCUAAGUAGCUGGAGGAAAGGACAUCAACCGAGACUCCGUUAGUAGUGACGAGCGAACGCGGACCAGGCCAGUGGCUUCAAAAAAAUAACUAAAACAACAUGGAAAGGUUGACCAUAGAAGGUGAUAGUCCCGUAUAGGUAAAAAGUUUGAAGUCCUUGAGUAAGGCGGGACACGUGAAAUCCUGUUUGAACAUAGGGGGACCACCCUCUAAGCCUAAGUACUCUCUAGUGACCGAUAGUGAACAAGUACCGUGAGGGAAAGGUGAAA
rnacentral:rRNA from 1 species